rnacentral:lncRNA from 1 species
GUUCAGCAAAUGGAGGCGCAUGGAAAAGGCUGGGACGCAGGCAGAGGAACGGAUUUCCUGGCCUACAAACACCCUGGCUCUUGUUUCGGGGGUGGGGUGGGGGUGGGGUGCUUUUUUUUUCUUAAAUCAAAUACGUACAGGUUAUUUACUGGGUGUCAGGCCCUGCAGGAGUGAUUGAGUGGGUGAGCAGGAACUCCAGGUCCUGUCCGGGUCACCCUGACCUCAAUAGCAGUGAGGGAUUUUUUUAGGCAGCAACAGGAUUUCUGGUGUCCAGUGCUUGAAAACUCAAGGGAAGAAAACCCCCAGCUCUCAAGCCAAGCAAGGAUCUUUGUCUCUAGGCUAACAGAACAUGUGGUUCCAACAUCUGGGGUUUGUAGCUUGCAAAAAUCUAAUCAGGAAGCCAGAGAGAUUGUCACAAAUUCCCACAACGCACUUUGGGUAUCUCUGCUCUUGGUCUGUUUAGAGCAGAUCAGCACUACCAGGAGUGAUGACCCUCAGUGGCUGGUGGAGCCACUAACUAUUAAGAGAACCAAUUUGAACAGCUGGAAACAAUAAGCAUAGGAGGAGAAGAAGACACGCGGAGGACUGAUAUUGCUCCACAGGGGCCGGUGGCAGCCUGUGCAUACAGAAGUAGUUCACGCUCCCCGAGAUGAUGGAAGAGGUGCUGAACACCUCAAGGAGCUCCCUGUGCGCUCUGCCACAGACAGCCUGUAGCUCCCCUGCCUCACACCCACAAGGCGCCAAAGGCAUUGUCUCUGCAAGGCCAGGGGGUUUUUGCAGAGCCUCUGGGCAUCCUGGGAAUGACACUGAGAACAGCAUCCAGAGAGACACCCACCUACCAGGCAAGGGGUGAGGCUCUACAGUGAAAGAUGGACCUAAGGAAUCAAUGGAGAUACACAGGCCAGCUACCAGCACAGAGAGCAGCAGGCGCUAGGUGGGAAUGUGGCUUUGUGCCUCAGCACUUGCAGAGGGAAGGACUUUAUCCCUGCCAUGGCACUGUUUCUCAAAGUCAGAUGUUAGAAGCUGACUGCCCACGUAGCAAUGCUGAGUCCGGGCCUAAUAAGAAGUGAUUGGGUCAUGAGGACCAGGUCUUCAUGAAUGGAGAAUGUGGUGGUUUGAAUAUGCUUGGCCCAUGGGAAGGGGAGCCAUUAAGAGGGGGUGGUCUUGUUGCAGGAAGUGUGUCGUUGUGUAGGCAGGCUUCGAGGGCCUAUGUUCAAGCUCUGCCUAGUGUGGAAAGGAGAGGCUCUUCCUGGCUGUCUGCCAAUCAAGAGGCUGUUCCUCCAGUACCAUGUCUGCCUGAACGAUGCCGUGUUCCCUGCCAUGAUGAUAAUAGACUGAACCUCUGAAACUGUAAGCCAGACUCAAUUAAAUGUUUGCCUUC